UACGUAGGGGGCGAGCGUUGUCCGAAUUCACUGGGCGUAAAGCGCGCGUAGGCGGACUCUUAAGUUGGUGGUGAAAUGCCGAGGCUUAACCUCGGAACUGCCUUCAAAACUGGGGGUCUUGAGGUAUGGAGAGGGAAGUGGAAUUCCUGGUGUAGCGGUGAAAUACGUAGAUAUCAGGAGGAACACCUGUGGCGAAGGCGGCUUCCUGGCCAUAUCCUGACGCUGAGGUGCGAAAGCUAGGGGAGCGAACGGG
rnacentral:rRNA from 1 species